UGGGGAAUAUUGCACAAUGGGCGCAAGCCUGAUGCAGCCAUGCCGCGUGUGUGAAGAAAGGCCUUCGGGUUGUAAAGCACUUUCAGCGAGGAGGAAGGGUUCAGUGUUAAUAGCACUGUUCAUUGACGUUACUCGCAGAAGAAGCACCGGCUAACUCCGUGCCAGCAGCCGCGGUAUACGGAGGGUGCAAGCGUUAAUCG
rnacentral:rRNA from 1 species